AUGGCUCCUCGACAAAAACGCAAGUGGAUUGCACCGCCGAGCGGGCUGGCCAAGAUCAGAGUUGAUGGGGCUGUUGCCAGAUCGGGUAAUGAAGGAGCGUAUAGUGCCAUCUGCAGGAAUUCAGAAGGCAUCUUCAUGGGUUCGUCGGCCAUCAGGUGCCAUGGAGUUACAGACCCGACAACUCUCAAAGCUCUUGCUUGCAGAGAGGCGCUUGCGCUGACUCAAGAUCUUGCAUUAACGCAUAUUGUCAUAGCUUCUGAUUGCCAGGGAGUGGUUCGAGACAUUGGCCAGGGCUGUGAAGGGAUGUAUGCUAGCAGCGUGAAGGAAAUUACGCCUACUUCGGCGCAAUUUCAGCAAUGUACCUUCAUCUUUUUUUUAGGGAAACAAUGUACCUUCAUCUUUGAGGGUCGUGAGACUAAUCAAGAGGCUCAUAGCCUCGCCAAACAUGUUUUUGGACUCGGUUUAGGACGCCAUGUGUGGCUCUUGGCCUCUUUUGGUUCAUAG
rnacentral:rRNA from 1 species